GAUGAACGCUGGCGGCGUGCCUAAUACAUGCAAGUCGAGCGAACGGACGAGAAGCUUGCUUCUCUGAUGUUAGCUGCGGACGGGUGAGUAACACGUGGAUAACCUACCUAUAAGACUGUGAUAACUUCGUGAAACCGGAGCUAAUACCGUAUAAUAUUUUGAACCGCAUGGUUCAAAAGUGAAAGACGGUCUUGCUGUCACUUAUAGAUGGAUCCUCGCUGCAUUAGCUAGUUGGUAAGGUAACGGCUUACCAAGGCAACGAUGCAUAGCCGACCUGAGAGGGUGAUCGGCCACACUGGAACUGAGACACGGUCCAGACUCCUACGGGAGGCAGCAGUAGGGAAUCUUCCGCAAUAGGCGAAAGCCUGACGGAGAAACGCCGCGUGAGUGAGGAAGGUCUUCGGAUCGUAAAACUCUGUUAUUAGGGAAGAACAUAUGUGUAAGUAACUGUGCACAUAUUGACGGUACCUAAUCAGAAAGCCACGGCUAACUACGUG
rnacentral:rRNA from 1 species